UGACCUUCAUCACAUCAGUUACAGAACAGGAAGAAUAAAGUCUCCACAGGCGACAGUCUCACCAGCAGAGCAUUCUGGGAGUUGUAGUAUAAGCUGUGAAUGAUCUUUCUACCAGUGGACCGGCUCUUAUAGACACUAUAAAUUAUCUCAUGGUCAUAUUUGUCCUGCAGGCCUGAGUCUGACCCCUCUGCUGUCAGGGGUCCAUUUUGACCUGUUUGGAUUCUGUUCUGACUCGGUUUAACUGCUCUGUCUGCAGAGUCUCAGAGCUGCUGGCUGUUAGUGGACUGACUGCAGCUCAUUAGCAGACGUCACAGUUCCUCUUUGACGGCUCAUGCUAAGGGAAUUACAUCAUGUUGAACAUAAAAAUAUAAACUAUAAAUAAAACUUGUCCUGUUUUAUGUUCUUCACAAUCAGACUCUGCAGCUGAAACAUGGCUCACUUUAGUUGAUCUGAGUGUUACAAGGUGAAUGAAUUAAAUGUAGUUUAAAUGCUUUUUCUGACUAAACUUUGUACAACUAGUUCCUUCUGUUUGUGGUUUUCUGUCAGUUUCUAAAAACACAAAAUGACAGAGUACGUGGUGGGUGUUGGUGUGAAGUUAUUUUCAUCCAUUAAUUCAGAGACAAAGAGGAAAUAACAUCAGUUCUUUCAGAUGUGCAGCAGAGAAAAGUCUCUCAGUGUUCAGCAGCUGAUAGAAGGACAGGAGAUGUUGGUUCUGGAACUGGUUCUGAUCGUUGUGCUUCAGUUUGAAGGCACCAGAGGAGGAGAACUUUAUCUCUAUCACAGAUCUGGAGAUGAUGUCGUUAUACCUUGUAACAGUCCUUCAUCUUCUUACUCAUGCUCCAUUGUUAAAUGGUUUUACAGCAGAGAUACAAACUCAAGCUCUCUGUUGGAGGUUCAGGAUGGAAAAGUUGUUCAGAGUUCACCUCGAGCUGCCAGGUUAAAUGUGGACAGUAAAUGCUCUCUGAUCAUCAACAACAUCACUGCUGAGGAUGCUGGACGGUACACCUGUCGACCUGGUUCAGGAACCUUUGAUGGCAUUGUGCUUCUGAGUGUUUUGACCAUCUCUCCAUCUCCACCAGGUGCUGAUCCAACAAAGGAUGGAGAUUUCACAUUACAGUGUUCUCUGGAGAGAUACAGUUGGUUUGGUC